rnacentral:lncRNA from 1 species
CACGAUAGUCUAAAUAUAGAAAUCAUCGGUAAAUAAAUAAAGCUGAAAAAUAACAACUGAAUAUGAAAACAAUACACUCAGUCCAUACUCUGUUGCGGCGCGCACCCCGCUCCUUAACAGAUAAUACCAAGAACUCACAAAAACAACGACCACAACUCAAGUGCGAGGGGAGUAACAAUAAUUACAAGAAAUCCCGGCAAGGGAAUAUAAUUAACAAUUUAAUUAUCUCGACAAGGGAGAAUACAAUAAAUACUUACGUCCAGGCAAUGGAAUAAUCAGUACACGUUACACUUUUAAUCACCUAUUUCUCGAGUAACAAUUUCUAGUCCGAGCCAAUGAUCCAAAUGACAUACCAAUCACAAACCUUCCUUAACUAUUCACUUUAUAUUAUACUUAUCAACCCAAGCUAGAAAGAUGAAUCAUUAAAUCCGAAUACAACAUAUAUAAGAUUCACGGUCAUGCUAGACUCAAAUGCAUAGAUAACCGUCACCAUGCCUAUACACUGUGCUCCAAAUUAGCAAGUAGCAAAUAAUACCCUAAUCCUAAUCCCUCAAGCCAAAGUUAGAACAAAC